UUAACACAUGCAAGUCGAACGGUAACAGGCCUUCGGGCGCUGACGAGUGACGGACGGGUGAGUAAUGCGUGGGAAUCUGCCUUGUGGUUGGGGACAACCAGUGGAAACGCUGGCUAAUACCGAAUACCUUCUACGGAAGAAAGCGGGGGAUCGUAAGACCUCGCGCCAUAAGAUGAGCCCACGUCUGAUUAGCUAGUUGGUAGGGUAAAUGCCUACCAAGGCGACGAUCAGUAGCCGGCCUGAGAGGGUGGACGGCCACACUGGGACUGAGACACGGCCCAGACUCCUACGGGAGGCAGCAGUGGGGAAUAUUGGACAAUGGGCGAAAGCCUGAUCCAGCAAUGCCGCGUGUGUGAAGAAGGCCUUCGGGUUGUAAAGCACUUUUGUUAGGGAGGAAAGUCUGGGAAUUAAUACUUUCUGGAUAUGACGUUACCUAAAGAAUCAGCACCGGCUAACUCUGUGCCAGCAGCCGCGGUAAUACAGAGGGUGCGAGCGUUAAUCGGAAUUACUGGGCGUAAAGGGUCUGUAGGCGGAUUAUUAAGUCGGAUGUGAAAUCCCCGGGCUCAACCUGGGAACUGCAUUCGAUACUGGUAAUCUAGAGUGUGCAAGAGGAUGGGGGAAUUCCUGGUGUAGCAGUGAAAUGCGUAGAUAUCAGGAGGAACAUCAAUGGCGAAGGCACCUUUCUGGGGCAACACUGACGCUGAGAGACGAAAGCGUGGGCAGCAAACAGGAUUAGAUACCCUGGUAGUCCACGCCCUAAACGAUGUUCACUAGUCGUCGGGAUGCUUGUCAUCUCGGUGAUGCACUUAACAGAUUAAGUGAACCGCCUGGGGAGUACGGUCGCAAGAUUAAAACUCAAAGGAAUAGACGGGGACCCGCACAAGUGGUGGAGCAUGUGGUUUAAUUCGAAGAUACGCGAAAAACCUUACCUAGCCUUGACAUUGAUAGAAUCUUCCAGAGAUGGAGGAGUGCCUUUCGGGGAACUUGAAAACAGGUGCUGCACGGCUGUCGUCAGCUCGUGUCGUGAGAUGUUGGGUUAAGUCCCGCAACGAGCGCAACCCUCGUCUUUAGUUGCUAACGGUUCGGCCGAGCACUCUAAAGAGACUGCCUUCGUAAGGAGGAGGAAGGUGAGGACGACGUCAAGUCAUCAUGGCCCUUAUGGCUAGGGCUACACACGUGCUACAAUGGGGCGUACAGAGAGUUGCAAUACCGCGAGGUGGAGCCAAUCUCAUAAAGCGUCUCUCAGUUCGGAUUGUUCUCUGCAACUCGAGAACAUGAAGCUGGAAUCACUAGUAAUCGUAGAUCAGCAUUGCUACGGUGAAUACGUUCCCGGGUCUUGUACUCACCGCCCGUCACACCAUGGGAGUUGAUUUCACCCGAAAUCGGGAAGCUAACCUUCGGGGGGCUACCGCUUACGU
rnacentral:rRNA from 1 species